GAUUUUUUAUACCACAAAAUAGAAUAUUCUGUAUCUUUCAGGCAGAAAGGAUUAAUAGUGAACCUUCCGAAAGACUGUGGCUAAUUUGACUUGCAUGUUGAGCGGCUUCCUGGACAUUUUCCACAGGAGAGUUGGGAUUGAUGAGCUGUCACUGUUAUUCCUGGAGCGGGGCACUGAGGUGCUCUAGCCAGCCACCCCACAAGAUCAUGUACACAUGUCAUAAGAGGGGGGCAGCAGAGACCAUGAAAACAAAGGCUGGCCCUUCAACUGGUAGCUUACAAAAUUUUGGAGCCAGACGUUUUAACAACUUUCAGCAGGAACUAGCCCAUGAUAGUGGACAAACCUCACUGUGGAAUAAAGACUUCAAGAGGAUAAGGGAUGCAGCUGAAAUUUCCAAGCUUCUAACCAUGGCUGACUUUUCUGGUGACCAUCACCCAUCCAGGAGCCCUCCAAGCUUUGCCUUCUUUCACCCAGGAAAUUCAAGAGAUUUAGGAUUCUGUGUCAGGAUCUGGGGGCAAAGAGUGGAGGUGGAAAGAGGGGCUCAAAGUUGAAGGCAGUAAUAUGAGCCAUGAAAGCACUGUGUGAUCCACAGUUAGAAAGUGAAAUGCUUUACAGAUGCCACCAAAAAAAAAAAAAAAAAAGGAAAGAAAAAAAGAGGAAAAGGCAGUCUUGAACCAGGGCACACCUCUUCACAUUCCACAUCAACCAGUUCCGAGCUAAUCAAAGUGGACAUCUGUGUCCUGGAGGUUCUUUCUUCACAAAUCUAGAAUCAGACUCAGAAUUCCAAGCAUCUAGAGGGGCUGGUAUGUGACUAGUUGCUGUCAAAGUCCUGGGACUUGAACUUGGCGCCCUAGUCAAAGCAGAUGAAAGUUCAUUUUUGGGUUUGUCCAUCCCUUUACACCAGGAUGUUCUCCAUGACCAGGGAUUGAACCUGGACCACAGCAGUGAAAGCCCGGAAUCCUAACCACUAGGCCACCAGGGAACUCCGAGUUUCAAUUUCUUACUCAACAGGAAGUCUGGAAGGUACAUCAAGCCAUAGGAGUGAAUGAGACUGUGGAAUGACUGAGAAGUGAGAAGGCAAAAAAGGGGAGCCUGGGGAGCCCCCUGGUUUCCUUUUAUAUACAGAUAAUCAUCUCCUGCAUACUGACCAUCUGCUGUCAAAGCAAAAUUCCAGUGGACCUAGCUUUAAAUCUUCAUACCAAGGGAUGCACCUCUGUUGUUGUAGCAGACAGGAUCUAGUCGGGAAAACAAACCACAGAAAUAAUUUAAUAUGGAGCAUUGCUGAAACAGGUGUUGGAGGACUGAAAAAGCAAAGAGGGAAGCAGCGGCGUCAACUGGGCUGGGGAACAAAGGGAAAAGUUUAGUUACCAGAACUAAAAGUGUGCAAGACUCACACCUUCAUUCCUGAAGGGUGUGAAUCUACUUUUAAACUCUUUUAAAAAAAAUUAUAGUAGCUUUCCAUUAACUUUUAGUAUAGGACACGGAAGUGCUAAGAGGUAUCACAGAAAAUCAAGAAUGCACCCUUUUUUUUUUUGCGGUAUGCGGGCCUCUCACUGUUGUGGUCUCUCCCGCUGCGGAGCACAGGCUCCUGAUGUGCAGGCUCAGCGGCCAUGGCUCACGGGCCCAGCCGCUCCGCGGCAUGUGGGAUCCUCCCGGACCGGGGCACGAACCCGUGUCCCCUGCAUUGGCAGGCGGACUCUCAACCACUGCGCCACCAGGGAAGCCCAAGAAUGCACUCCUUUUGUCCCCAUAGUCUUCCCUGUCCCCACUGUGAAGCAGCAAAGCCAAUUUCCUCUUGGCAAUUGGAACCAAUCACCCCAGCCAGGACAGCACCCCCUUCUUCACCUGAUUUUUUUCUAUAGUAUGAGGAGCCCAAAGUGCCGAGGUACCAUCUCAACCUCAACCUCAGUGGAACCAUAGUUGUGAUCCCUGGUGGAAAUAUUCCUCUGUUGGGAAGUAAAAUCUCCAAACCAUCAGGGCUCAAAGUUACAGGAACUGGAAACAGAAAUUGUGUGAGUGGAUUAUUGGGUAUAAUGAUGAGAGGAACCACUUCCACUUUCCCCACCCCUUGAUUCUUGAACCUGUGUAUUUUGAAAGAAACAGUACUAUGUAUUGGCACUGACUCAAAGCAUAUACUGCAUCCUAUACAACGGAACUUCAGUUUUUAACAUGUUAUUUCCUAACUGGCACCAGAACUCAGUGGGCUAUUCCAUCAUCCUUCCAGGAGCUUCUGGCUGGUGGGGCAUAUGAUAAGACUAGCAAAUUCCAGGGAAUUCCCUGGUGGUCCAGUGGUUAGGACUCUGCACUUUCACUGCAGAGUACCCAGGUUCAAUCCCUGGUCAGGGAACUAAGAUCCCAUAAGCCGUGCAGUGUGGCACCCCCCCCCCUCAAAUUCCAUUUGCACGAGUCCAUUGCUGCAUUUAUUUUACUAUGAAAUGAGUUCCCUGGAAAGAAGUAAUAUGUAGAAUAUCAUAACAGUGAGUAAGGUAUAAUGAGUUCAUGGUUGAUAAUAAUAUCAGAAAUAUUCUGAGCAUAGAAAGCAAAUCUAUAUCCAAAAUAUGUGUUUAUUCCAGUAAGACAAAUAGCUGUCCCUUCCAUGAUGGAAGGGGUCCAGUAUAAUCAAUCAAUCUGUUACUAGGUUACUGGCUAUUUUCUCCUGGAAAUAGUGCCAUAUUGGAACUCAACGGGUGAUCUCUGAUGUUGGUAGAUAUGAACCUUACUGUGGGGAAGCCCAUGUUCUUGAGCCCAUGAAUAUCCUUUGCUCCUGACUGCAUGGCUACUUUGUGCAAGCACUGCAGUAGGUGGAAAAAGAGGCCAACUCCAUCAAAUGUGUCAUCCCCCUGAUUUUGAAAUCUGAGUGGAUGCCCUUUGGUGUACACAAAUAUCCUCACACUUUGUGCCCACUCUGAGAAGUGCAUCCAUAUACCUCUUCCCUAGACCUCCUUGUCAUCAGUCUCCCAAUCUUUUCUUUCCAAGUUAUUCACCGUUCAGGAAAACCAUCAGCUAUUGCCCAUGAAUGAGUGUAGGUCUAUACCUCUGGCCAUCUCUCAAUCCAGACAAAGUAGACACCCAAUGCACUGCAGGACAUUCUUUGUGCUGAGAGAAUUUCCCUUCAGUACUACCAUCAGGGGCAUUCCUCAUGGGAGUUCUAAUGCUAGAACAGACCACUUCCAGCUUGUGCCAGUGUAUUGAGGAGAACUGUAUGUAAACCAGUUAACUGAUUGAAGAUGAUGAGGAGGCAAUAUACCAGGAGUAAGAAUCAAAGGAAUCUAAGUCACUGGCUAAGGCAACUUGUGCUUUCUGGACCAGCUCAAGCUGUCUCUUACAUACCACUUCCAUUUGAUGAGGGAUUGCUCUUGUGCAUGCCCAACCUUAUGGGCUGAUGGGUCAGAUAACAUCCAGUUCAUAAUGGGCAGCUGAGGUUGCAUAGUCACUUGAUGUCUCAUGGCCAGUCAUUCAAAUUCAGUAGCAAGCUAGGUACAGUUUCUCAAAUGGAGAAUUGUUUUCUGCAGAAGAGGGCAUGGCUUUGCUGUGAAACUAAAGAAAGCUGCAUUGUGGAUCUUCUAUUAGAGUUUGCCAGUGGCAGAUGUAUAUGUAUAUGUUUGCCACAGACACUUCAAGUAUCAUGGGAUUCCUCUGGAUCAUAAGGUCCUGUUACAGAGUCUUCUUUUUCUUUACUCCUGAUAAAAAAUGCCAGCCUUAUGAGUUACUGGGUAGAUGGGUCAGAGCACCACACUCAAAUGCAGUAUUUAUUUCUUCCAAAAUCCAAAGAGGCCCAACAAGUAUUGUGUCUCAUUUUUAGUGGUAGGUGGUACAAGGUGCAGCAACUUGUUUUUCACCUUGGAGGGAUAUCUUGAUAUCUUUCAGAUCACUUGGAUCUCCAGAAACUUCACUAAGAUGGUGAAUUUUAAGACUUCCCUGGCAGUCCAGUGGUUAAGACUCUGCACUUCCACUGCAGGGGGCACAGUUUCCAUCCCUGGACGGGGCACUGAGAUCCUGCACAUCGCGUGUAUGGCCAAAAAAAAAAAUAAAGUCUGAAGUAUUUGUUACUUCCUGUUUAUUAGGUCUAAUCAGCUUGACGAAUCUAACAUAGUGAUCAAGAUCUCUGCAGACUAGAUUAUGACAGAGAGCAAAGGAGUUUAUAUCCCACAGACAAGACUAUAAGGUAUGCUGCUGGCCUCGCCACAUAAAAGAAAAUAGAUUUAGUGCAAAUUGGAAUAGAUGAAGACAGCACAUAUAGAAUUGCAGUUGCAACUGGCAUUACCAUCUGAUUAAGUUCAUAACAAUUCAUAAUUAUUCUCCAAAAUCCACCUGCCACUAGAUAGGUCAAACAGGUGUGUUAAAAGUGGGAAGUGAUAGUAUCACCACUUUUGCAUCAUCCACAUCUUUUAUGGUGGUCCUAAUUUCUAUAUCUCUCCAGGGAUAUGGUAUUGCUUUUGGUUUUCUAUCCUGGUAGCAAGAGGAAAUUUCCAGAGGCUUCCACUUGGCCCUUCCUACUACAAUAGCCUUCACUUUGUAGGUCAGAGAAAUAAUGUGGUGAUUCUGCCAGUAACUGGGCAUGUCAAUUCUAAUUAUAUAUUCAAGAAGUAGGGCAGGGGCUUCCCUGGUGGCGCAGUGGUUGAGAGUCCGCCUGCCGAUGUAGGGGACAUGGGUUCGUGCCCUGGUCCGGUCCGGGAGGAUCCCACAUGCC